rnacentral:rRNA from 1 species
AGUGAACGCUGGCGGUAGGCCUAACACAUGCAAGUCGAACGGCAGCACAGUAAGAGCUUGCUCUUACGGGUGGCGAGUGGCGGACGGGUGAGGAAUACAUCGGAAUCUACUUUUUCGUGGGGGAUAACGUAGGGAAACUUACGCUAAUACCGCAUACGACCUACGGGUGAAAGCAGGGGAUCUUCGGACCUUGCGCGAUUGAAUGAGCCGAUGUCGGAUUAGCUAGUUGGCGGGGUAAAGGCCCACCAAGGCGACGAUCCGUAGCUGGUCUGAGAGGAUGAUCAGCCACACGGAAACAGAGACACGGUCCAGACUUCUACGGGAGGGAGCAGUGGAGAAUAGUGCACAAGGGGCGCAAGUCUGAUACAGCCACACCGCGUGGGUGGAGAAGGCUUUCGGGUUGUAACGCCCUUUUGUUGGGAAAGAAAAGCAGCAUGUUAAUACCCCGCUGUUCUGACGGCACCAAAAGAAUAAGCACCGGCUAACUUCG